CGAUUAUUUUGGCUUUCGCUUUAUAUUGUGACCCCUCUGUACCCAUAAAAAAUAAGAAAUUACCUAAUUCAUACGUACAGUGUCACAUACUAUUCUUGGCCGGAGGCUGAAAUUGGUACUACCAUCGCCAUUUUGGUUAAUGGGAUCAUCGUUCGGUACUUUAAGAGGUUCAUUUUCACGCGGUAGAGCGGUGGAGUCCUAUAAAUAUCGAAUAGUAAUUAAAAAAAGAAUCCGAAGACACACUAAAAUAAUUAACCAUAAAGCCGUGGAAAUGAGAGCGUUAAAAAGUAUGUACUGUGAGCUCUGUGUGGUAAAAGAGGACGUAGUGACAAGGUUACGAAAGGGAAUGCUGAGGUGGUUUGGCCUUGUAGAACUGAUAAACGAGAAGCUGUUAUAAUUAGGAUAAACAAGGAAACCGUGAACGGUGAUGUCGAUUAGGGUAGGCCUAGGAUAAAUAAAUAAAAUAGUUUAUACAAAAUGAGUUUG